rnacentral:rRNA from 1 species
UACAGAGGUGGCGAGCGUUAUUCGGAAUUAUUGGGCGUGAAGGGCGCGUAGGCGGCUGGGCAAGUCCAAGGUGAAAUCCCUCGGCUCAACCGAGGAACUGCCUUGGAAACUGCCUAGCUCGAGGCCGGGAGAGGGUGGUGGAAUUCCCAGUGUAGCGGUGAAAUGCGUAGAUAUUGGGAGGAACACCGGUGGCGAAGGCGGCCACCUGGACCGGUUCUGACGCUGAGGCGCGAAAGCGUGGGGAUCAAACAGG